CGAGCUGGGUUUAGAACGUCGUGAGACAGUUCGGUCCCUAUCUGCCGUGGGCGCAGGAGAUUUGAGAAGAGUUGCUCCUAGUACGAGAGGACCGGAGUGAACGAACCUCUGGUGUUCGGGUUGUGUCGCCAGACGCAUUGCCCGGUAGCUACGUUCGGACAGGAUAACCGCUGAAAGCAUCUAAGCGGGAAGCCCCCUUCAAGACGAGAUCUCCCUGAGGACUUGAUCCUCCUAAAGUGCCGUUGAAGACGACGACGUUGAUAGGCUGGGUGUGUAAGUACAGUGAUGUAUUGAGCUAACCAGUACUAAUUGCACGUGAGGCUUGACCAU
rnacentral:rRNA from 1 species